GAAACUUAGAUGAUUUCUUCGGAAUGAACUUAAGUGGAUUAGUGGCGAACGGGUGAGUAACACGUGAGUAACCUGCCUUACACAAGGGGAUAGCCUCUGGAAACGGAGAAUAAUACCCUAUAAAGUCUAAUCAGCUCCUGCUGGAAAGACCAAAGAUUUAUCGGUGUAAGAUGGACUUGCGUCUGAUUAGCUAGUUGGUGAGAUAAAAGCUCACCAAGGCGACGAUCAGUAGCCGGCUUGAGAGAGUGUAUGGCCACAUUGGGACUGAGACACGGCCCAAACUCCUACGGGAGGCAGCAGUGGGGAAUUUUGCACAAUGGGGGAAACCCUGAUGCAGCGACGCCGCGUGAUUUAGAAGGCCUUCGGGUUGUAAAAAUCUUUUUUACGGGAUG
rnacentral:rRNA from 1 species